rnacentral:lncRNA from 1 species
AGGAUUGAUUUUCAUUUUGCAAAUAUAAUACUGGUUCAUUUUCUUUCUCUUCCUCCAUCCAUUCUACUAUUGAACAUAAAACGUGUCAAUAGUAUUGUAGUUCAGCAUGUAUCUCAGGAUAUUAAAAGGGCAGUGUGACUCAGCUAGAAAAGGAUGAACUUUCCCCAAAGAUAAAGUGACCUAUGCGACUCUGUUGGGUACAAGUGACACAGAAAGUCAUCUCAAACUAGCUGAAACACAAAAGGUAAUUUAUUUGUUUCAAUACCUGGAAAUUCCAAGAGUUUUUUUUAGCUCUAGUUAUAGCUGGAUCAAGAUGAGUGUCAAAUGAUAUAAUGAUAUUGUCAGUGUUUGAGUGUCUUAUCUAUCAUGUGUCUAUCCAUACAUAUCUAUACCUACAUAUAUACAUAUAUCACACACGUUUUAUAAAAAAUUUAUCAUGUCGACAAUAAUAUUUAAACAAAUACCCAAAUAAAUAUUAAUCAUUGAGUUUUCUCAGAAGGCUAAAUCACUUACAAACAAAAUGGAACAUUUUUAUAUUUUUAUAAUUUCCUUCUGGUACUGUGGAUCACAGCCACAGAAGGAAAUCAGUCUAGUAAUAUUAUAGAUAGGACAUUCACUGGUCCCAAUCUGAUUUACAUUUUCUUAUGGACAUUUGUGAAUUUUUAGCUCUGCUUAGCAUCUAAAAUCCAGUGUAUGUUUGGAAUCUUUUUCAACAUUAUUAGCCAUAGUGUGGAGGAGAGACUGCCUCACCCAAUGGGAGAUGAAAAUGCCAAACUCUUGCUUGCCUAGACUCCCUUGGAGCUAGGACAUGACCAAGUGAGGUACAUUCCACUAAUCAGAUUCAGCCAUGGAAGCAGGAACCAGUAACUCAAAGAAGCAGGGACUGAGAGCCUCCAUUCAGACUGAAUUCCUAGUGCAGCUGUGGCAGCAGAGCUAGAGGCAGUGUCACAGUGCAGUAGUGGAGGGGUUGGUGGUGCAGGCUGUAGAGUCUUUUGCUUGUUAGUGUUGGUAGGGAUGUCAACAUUAGGUGAGCUGUGUCAUGUCUUGGUGAGCCUGUGUUUCAUAGAACCUGGCUCUUCAUACAUGCUGGCAAUGUAAUCCACCCAAUAUCAUUAUCACAAACACCUUUCCCAUUGAAAUUAACCUGAGUUGGUUUCUGUUGCUUGCAGCUGAUGAAUGGAUGACCUUCUCUUCCUCUAUGUCAUCUCCUUUAGUUAUGUAUUUAUUAACUUAAAUCUCAU